UAUUGGACAAUGGGCGAAAGCCUGAUCCAGCAAUGCCGCGUGAGUGAUGAAGGCCCUAGGGUUGUAAAGCUCUUUUACCCGGGAAGAUAAUGACUGUACCGGGAGAAUAAGCCCCGGCUAACUCCGUGCCAGCAGCCGCGGUAAUACGGAGGGGGCUGGCGUUGUUCGGAAUUACUGGGCGUAAAGCGCACGUAGGCGGCUUUGUAAGUCAGAGGUGAAAGCCUGGAGCUCAACUCCAGAACUGCCUUUGAGACUGCAUCGCUUAAUCCAGGAAGAGGUCUGUGAAUUCCGAGUGAGAGGUAAAUUCGAAAAAUUCGAAGACACCAGUGGCAAGGCGGCUGCUGGCUGGUUAGCGCUGCGUCAAAUAGA
rnacentral:rRNA from 1 species